AAGUCCUUUCCUUUUUCUUUUCCGUCCAGUCCAAAACCCCUUCCCAAACAGACCUUUAAAUCCCCCCGCCCCUCUCUCUCUUAUACUCCGUCUGCUCAGUCGCGGCCACACCCUCCCCCUCUCUCCCCUCUCUCUUUCUCUAAAUCUCUCUCCCACGAACCUCACCGCACACAUCACUCACUUAUUCUACAAAGCUCCUUCGCUCCAAUUACCCGCCAAAAAGGUCUCCACCGACGCGACGACGUUCAUGUGAUUUUCUCCGCCAAGGGAGAUGGAUCCGACGGCUGGCGUUGAAGCCGCGGGGUCCCCGGGGCCGAGAUCGGAGGAUUUCGAGGGUUCCGAGAAGCGGCCGGCGGAGAACGGCAACGACGGGGACGGUCCCGCCCGUAAGAAGGCUCGCGGGGGUUCGGGCACGGCCGGGAGCAUGAAGAGGGUUGCGGAGAUCGUGUUGGUGCUCUCGGCCAUGGCGGAGAUGCGCGGCGGGAGGAGCCCGACGGCGGAAGAGAUGGCAAUGAUGGCGGAGGCGAGGGCGAAGGCGGUGGAGCUGUGCGGAGGGCUCGCUCCGAAGGAUGUUGUGCCUAGGGAUGCCAUUGGGGCGGUUAUUGAAGAUCUUGGGUUGAAUAAGGCUAGGGAUCAGAGGCUAGGGUUUCGGCCUCCCAAGAUAUCUAUUGCUGAGAAGUUGUUACUUACCAAGAGAAAGAUGGAAGAAUCCAAGGGAUUUGGUACACAUUCUACUACAUAUACAUCUCAGCGGCCUCAGACAAGCUUUAGUGCAUUGGCGGAAAAUCGUGGCACAUCACAGACUGUUCGCAUGUUUCCCUCAGAUAAACCAAGUCAUCCACCAAUCCCUUCUGGAGGCUUACAGCCUGCUUUGCCUUUAGGUCAAGUUUCUGCUGCCACUUCUACAUCAUUACCACAUCAGCUGUCCUCCAAUGGAUUAAAAUCAUCAACAGUUUCUAGUGGGUUGCCUAGCAGUCAGCCAGGGAAAGAUCCAUCUUCGUUGGUGUUACCUAAAGCUGACAAGCCAAAUUUCAGGUUGGAGGGAGGAUUGAAUGGAACAUCUUAUGCAUUGCAAUUUCGAGCAAAUUCUUCUACUGACCACCCACCGGCAAAAGCUCCCAUGUGGUCUCUACAACCUCAAUCUGCUCCAGCAGGUAGAAGUGGACAAGAAACCAAGAUGCCGGAUCAUACUUCUGCUAAGGUUGAGGUAACUGCUGACAGAAGUGCAUCACGAGUGGGUUCUCAAGCAUCUAGAGAUCAGACCACUACAGCAUUUAUCACCCAAGCCACGUCUGGAAGUCUACCUCAUCAAUCUUUGCAGAGCAUGAACUAUGCUCAUACCUCUUCACCUUUUACCAGCCACAGUGAGAUUGUUAGAUUUGUGCAGAAGUUGCUACAACCACAGCUUCCUGAGCACCCAACAUGGACCCCUCCUUCAAGGGAUUACAUGAAUAAGGCAUUGACUUGCCUAAUAUGCAAGCUUACCAUUAAUGAGGUGGAAAGUGUACUUGUUUGUGAUGCAUGUGAGAAAGGUUUUCACCUAAAGUGUAUUCAGCCAGGCAAUCUAAAGGGAAUUCCUAGAGGUGAGUGGCACUGUCCCAGGUGUUUGAUGUUAAGUAAUGGGAAGGCUUUACCUCCUAAAUAUGGUCGUGUCAUGAGAAAUAUUACCCCACCAAAAAUUUCUUCAAGUACAGCUGGAGUCCAGUCUCCUUCAGAGAAGAAAUUGGUUACUUCAGAGCAGAAGGUCAAUCAGCAGAAAAUAAUAGCAAAUGGAAACUCUGCUCUACAUUGUCCUCUUCCUGGUACUGUGGGCAGUAACUGUACUGAGCUGGCAUCUGAUAUAAAGAUGCCAAAUGCAAGUGAAAUGCAGAAUGACAUUUUUUUAUCAAACAGACAGAAAAUGGAUGACAUGCUAUUGCCUAGUUCUGAAACUUGCCCAAAUAAUUUAGUGAGUACCUCAGGGGCAGAUUUGCCCCCAAGCGGCACAUCUGAUGAAAGUUCUAGUCAGCAAAUUCAAAUUUCCGAUUCAUCUACACAUGAAAAGAGAUUAGUUUUUGAAACAAAAUCACAGCCUCCAGUAAAGGUAACUGACUCAGUUGUUAAUACGUUAGAUCAUUCUCAAGCUGCACAUGGUUUGCAGCAUGUUGACCAGAAAGAACUGCCAAACUGUGAUGAGGUUCCAUUGAAGCAAUGUCAUGACAACAAUCCUAUAGCUAAAGAUCUAGAUAAAUCUUAUGUAAGAGGAACCAUUGAUUGUAAGACAACGUGUGGCCAAGACAUUGUACAGCCAAGUGUUGUUGGGACUGCUGAUGUGGACACUGGGACUAGAGAGGAUGCUAGGUUGUCAGUAGAUGGGUUGCAUACUGUUGAUUGGAUUGGCAAUGCAGUUCAAGUUGUGGGUGAGAAGACAUUUUACCAGUCUUGUUUCAUCGAUGGAGUUACAUAUAAAUUGCAGGAUCAUGCUCUUUUACGUUCUAGCAAUGCUAAAUUGACACCUUCUAAACUCCAGGCCAUGUGGGAGGAUAGCAAAGCUAGGUCAAAGUGGAUUAAUGUUAAGCAGUGUUAUUUUCCGGGUGAUUUGCCGGAGGUUGUUGGCCACCCAUGCACCCCUGAAAGCGACGAGGUCUACGAAUCUAAUCGUGAUAGAACUGUGAUGGCUGGCUUGAUUCAAGGUCCUUGUGGAGUUCUUCCUCCAGAUAAGUUCAAGGAAGAGUUUGAAAGGAGAACUCAGUUAGGCACUGAGGCAACUGAUGUUCUAUGUCCUAUUUACCUGUGCAAGUGGUUGUAUGAUGAAUCUAAAGGGGGUUUUGUGUCUGUUUCAAGUUAACUGCAGUCAUGCAUAUAUUUUAGGUGACAUGAUGUUUUCUAGGACUUUGUUGCAGAAAUUCCAUGCUCUCUUUAAUCAGGUAACAUAUUCAUUGUAUUCAAGGUGAGACCACCAGGAGAAGUUUUAAGGAAGUUUAAGCACUCAUGUCUUGUACAAUAUGUUGCUGUAGUCUCAGUCUGUAACAUCAGCCUAAUAGUAACCAAAUGGAAUUCUUUCAUGCGCCUUAUUUGGCUGCUUCAAGCCCAUCGUUAUAUUAUCGGCAAGUGAAGUAUAGAAAGAAUAUAUACUUUUCUGAAAUGUUUGAAUUAUUCCUCUGACAGGAAAACCAACUUGUUAAUUACAGUUGUUCGGAUAUUGAUAUCUGUACCUUACUUGGUUUCAUAAGCAGAGUAGGAUUCCUUGGGGUAACUAUAAUGUGGAAGUUAAUUGUAAUAAGGAGGGGAGGGGAGCAACCUGAGGUGCAUUGCCUGCUUGCAGGUUUCAGCAUCAUCUAGGAUUUCAGUGGUAUUUAAAUUGUUGAUCUUUGUAAAGUGGAUUAUUGAGCAUUCAUCGCCCUUAAAGAAUGACCGUUGGUCCUUCCCCA